rnacentral:rRNA from 1 species
UACGGAGGGUGCAAGCGUUAUCCGGAUUUACUGGGUUAAAGGGUGCGUAGGCGGGCCUUUUAAGUCAGUGGUGAAAGCUCCGAGCUUAACUCGGAAACUGCCAUUGAUACUAUUGGUCUUGAAUUCGGUCGAGGUUGGCGGAAUGUGUCGUGUAGCGGUGAAAUGCUUAGAUAUGACACAGAACACCGAUUGCGAAGGCAGCUAGCUAGACCGACACUGACGCUGAGGCACGAAGCGUGGGGGAUCAAACAGG